GAUGAAGAACGCAGCGAAAUGCGAUAAGUAAUGUGAAUUGCAGAAUUCAGUGAAUCAUCGAAUCUUUGAACGCACCUUGCACCCUUUGGCAUUCCGAAGGGUAUGCUCGUUUGAGUGUCAUUGUACUCUCACACUCUCCGAUCCUAUGGAUUCGGGGAGCGGUGGACUUGGGUGUUGCUGCCUUUCCUUGUGGCUCACCUCAAAUGUGUCAGUGCACCUCUUGGUUGGACAUAGUACGGCGUGAUAAGUGUCUUCGCCGGCACCUCGCAAGAGGGUGGCCGAUCGGGAGCUCUGUGCUUUCAAACCGUCUUCGGACAAUUUCUGACAACUUGACCUCAAAUCGAGUAGGACUACACGCUGAACUUAAGCAUAUCAAUAAGCGGAGGA
rnacentral:misc_RNA from 1 species